UCCCUAGUAACGGCGAGUGAAGCGGGAAGAGCUCAAGCUUGAAAUCUGGGGCGCUUGCGUCCACAGAAUUGUAGUUGAGAGAAGUGCUUUCACCGGGACGAGCGAUGGCCUAAGUUGCUUGGAACAGCACGUCAUAGAGGGUGAGAAUCCCGUCUGUGGUUGGUCGGUCCCUCGGAACGAUGCACUUUCAAAGAGUCGGGUUGUUUGGGAAUGCAGCCCAAAAUGGGUGGUAAACUCCAUCUAAAGCUAAAUAUUGCCACGAGACCGAUAGCGAACAAGUACCGUGAGGGAAAGAUGAAAAGCACUUUGAAAAGAGAGUUAAAAGCACGUGAAACCGUUGAAAGGGAAACGCGCUCGGCUAGCAAUGUACGUCUGUGAUUCAGCCGGCUAGUCUUGUCGAGUUGCCGUGUGGCGGAUCCGAAUGGACUGUCCGCGGUAGCGGCGGUGGGCGAGCUAUGGUGCACUUCAUGGACGUGCGCGUCAGCGUCGGUUCUCGACGGACGAUAAGGUGCGUGGGAAAGGUAGCUCGGUUUUCGGACCGAGUGUUAUAGGCCCGUGCGCUGGGUUCGUUGUGGGACCGAGGAGAGAGAUGAUCGCUGCGGCACCUGCCUCUCGGGGCUAGCCAGCUGUUGCCAGGUGUGCGCCAGGCGCCGAGGACUGCACGCAGUGCUUGGUGUUGAGGUGUGAUCUGGCGGUGGUGUGGGUAUAGAGGUGCCUA
rnacentral:rRNA from 1 species